rnacentral:rRNA from 1 species
AAUAUCGAAAGUAGGGUGGCGCACGGGUGCGUAACGCGUAGGUAAUCUGCCCUGAGGUCUGACAUAACCCGUCGAAAGGCGGGCUAACAUCAGAUGAUAUAUAGUCACGACAUCGUGGAAAUAUCAAAUCUUCGGAGCCUUGGGAUGAGCCUGCGUCUGAUUAGGUAGUUGGCGGAGUAAUAGCCCACCAAGCCUACGAUCAGUAGCUGGUCUGAGAGGAUGAUCAGCCACACUGGAACUGAGACACGGUCCAGACUCCUUACGGGAGGCAGCAGUAAGGAAUAUUGCUCAAUGGGGGAACCCUGAAGCAGCAACGCCGCGUGAAGGAUGAAAUACUUUUGUAUGUAAACUUCUGUAAGAUGGGAAAAAUAUUCUCCUCGGGAGAAAUGAUUGUACCAUCAGAGUAAGCCCCGGCUAACUACGUG